GACAGAGGGUGCAAACGUUGUUCGGAAUUACUGGGCGUAAAGCGCGUGUAGGCGGCAAUACAAGUCGGAUGUGAAAUCCCCGCGGCUUAACCGUGGAAGUGCACCCGAAACUGUAUCGCUAGAGUCCCGGAGAGGAUCGGUGGAAUACUUGGUGUAGAGGUGAAAUUCGUAGAUAUCAAGUGGAACACCGGUGGCGAAGGCGGCCAUCUGGGACGGUGACUGACGGCUGAGACGCGAAAGCGUGGGUAGCAAACAGG
rnacentral:rRNA from 1 species